UACGUAGGGUGCAAGCGUUAAUCGGAAUACUGGGCGUAAAGCGUGCGCAGGCGGUUAUGUAAGACAGGUGUGAAAUCCCAGGGCUUAACCUUGGAACUGCAUUUGUGACUGCAUAGCUAGAGUACGGUAGAGGGGGAUGGAAUUCCGCGUGUAGCAGUGAAAUGCGUAGAUAUGCGGAGGAACACCGAUGGCGAAGGCAAUCCCCUGGACCUGUACUGACGCUCAUGCACGAA
rnacentral:rRNA from 1 species